UUGGAGGGCAAGUCUGGUGCCAGCAGCCGCGGUAAUUCCAGCUCCAAUAGCGUAUAUUAAAGUUGUUGCAGUUAAAAAGCUCGUAGUUGAAUUUCGGGGUUCGUACGUUGGUCGGGCUUUUUGGUCUGUACUAGCGUAAUGGAUUCCUACCUUCUGAAUAACCGGCAUGCCAUUAAUUUGGUGCGUCGGGGAAGCAGGACUGUUACCUUGAAAAAAUUAGAGUGCUUAAAGCAGGCUAUCGCCUGAAUACAUUAGCAUGGAAUAAUGAAAUAGGACGGCAUGGUUCUAUUUUGUUGGUUUCUAGGAUCACCGUAAUGAUUAAUAGGGAUAGUUGGGGGCAUUAGUAUUCAAUUGUCAGAGGUGAAAUUCUUGGAUUUAUUGAAGACUAACUUCUGCGAAAGCAUUUGCCAAGGAUGUUUUCAUUAAUCAAGAACGAAAGUUAGGGGAUCGAAGACGAUCAGAUACCGUCGUAGUCUUAACCAUAAACUAUGCCGACUAGGGAUCGGACGAUGUUAAUUUUUUAAUGACUCGUUCGGCGCCUUACGGGAAAC
rnacentral:rRNA from 1 species